rnacentral:rRNA from 1 species
UACGUAGGAUGCAAGCGUUGUCCGGAAUUAUUGGGCGUAAAGAGCGCGCAGGCGGUAACUCAAGUCAGAUGUGAAAUAUCCGGGCUUAACCCGGAGGGGUCAUUUGAAACUGAGUAACUAGAGUACAGCAGAGGAUAGCGGAAUUCCCGGUGUAGUGGUGAAAUGCGUUGAUAUCGGAAGGAACGCCGGUGGCGAAAGCGACGUACUGGACCUCUUCUGACGCUGAGGCGCGAAAGCUAGGGGAGCAAACGGG